AGGUGAUCUGGCCAUGACAUUGGUCACCCCAUGGAUCCCCAGGUUGGUUCAGCUGAUCUGGCUGUCUAGGUGGGUGUCCCCUUCCUCCCUCAGUGCUCCAUGUGCACCACUACCAAAGUUGCACAUCAAUAGAAAAGGACAACCAUCUCAGAUAGGAGUGUACCAUUCUUCAGUCAAGGGUAUACGAUAGCUGCACUCCCCUCUGAACACGUUCUAGGCUUUGAUUUCCUUUUUCCAAACUGUCCUUUAAU
rnacentral:sRNA from 1 species